rnacentral:rRNA from 1 species
GAUGAACGCUGGCGGCAUGCCUAAUACAUGCAAGUCGAACGGACAACUCAGUACUUGUACUGAGAAGUUAGUGGCGAACGGGUGAGUAACACGUAGGUAACCUGCCCCAACGACUGGGAUAACUGUUGGAAACGACAACUAAUACCGGAUGGGAUAAUAGAAGGCAUCUUCUAUUAUUGAAAGUUGCAAUUGCAACACGAUGGGAUGGACCUGCGGUGCAUUAGCUAGUUGGUGAGGUAACGGCUCACCAAGGCGAUGAUGCAUAGCCGACCUGAGAGGGUGAACGGCCACAUUGGGACUGAGACACGGCCCAAACUCCUACGGGAGGCAGCAGUAGGGAAUUUUCCACAAUGGGGGCAACCCUGAUGGAGCAAUGCCGCGUGAGUGAAGACGCAAUUCGCUGUGUAAAGCUCUGUUGUAAGGGAAGAAUAAGAUGUAGAGUGGAAAGCUACAUUGAUGACGGUACCUUACCAGAAAGCCACGGCUAACUACGUGCCAGCAGCCGCGGUAAUACGUAGGUGGCAAGCGUUAUCCGGAAUUAUUGGGCGUAAAGGGUGCGCAGGCGGUAAGAUAAGUUUGAGGUAAAAGGUCACAGCUCAACUGUGGUAUGCCUUGAAAACUGUUUUACUAGAGUGCAGGAGAGGGUGAUGGAAUUCCAUGUGUAGCGGUAAAAUGCGUAGAGAUAUGGAGGAACACCAGUGGCGAAGGCGGUCACCUGGCCUGUAACUGACGCUCAAGCACGAAAGCGUGGGGAGCAAAUAGGAUUAGAUACCCUAGUAGUCCACGCCGUAAACGAUGAGAACUAAGUGUUGGGGAAACUCAGUGCUGUAGUUAACGCAAUAAGUUCUCCGCCUGGGGAGUAUGCACGCAAGUGUGAAACUCAAAGGAAUUGACGGGGGCCCGCACAAGCGGUGGAGUAUGUGGUUUAAUUCGAAGCAACGCGAAGAACCUUACCAGGUCUUGACAUGGUGUUAAAGGCCGCUGAGAAGCGGAGAUAGUUAUAACACACACAGGUGGUGCAUGGUUGUCGUCAGCUCGUGUCGUGAGAUGUUGGGUUAAGUCCCGCAACGAGCGCAACCCUUGUUUCUAGUUACCAUCAUUAAGUUGGGGACUCUAGAGAGACUGCCGCUGAGAAAGCGGAGGAAGGUGGGGAUGACGUCAAAUCAUCAUGCCCCUUAUGGCCUGGGCUACACACGUACUACAAUGGCGACUACAAAGAGUAGCGAACCCGCGAGGGGAAGCCAAUCUUCUAAAGGUCGUCUCAGUUCGGAUUGGAGACUGCAACUCGUCUCCAUGAAGUCGGAAUCGCUAGUAAUCGUAGAUCAGCAUGCUACGGUGAAUACGUUCUCGGGCCU